GGGGAUGCAAUGGCUUCGACGGGGGUUGAGACCCUCGGUAAGCGGGUAGCGGUCGCAGGUCACGCUUAAAAAACUGUAAACUUAAAAAUAAACGACAACAAUAAAGUUGCCUUAGCAGCUUAAUGCUGCUCGUCUUACCUAUGACCACCGCGACAUAGGAUAAGGCGUCGAUUAGCGGUAAAGGUGAACAGAGAAGUGUCUCGGUCUCUGUCAUCAAUCUGAGGCUUGCCUUUAAGCUAUCCUGUUGUUGGGAGAGCCUACAGGGACUUUUAAUACAGCAACUACACCCGUAGAAAGCCGUGGCAAUCGAUUUUCGGACGCGGGUUCGAUUCCCGCCAUCUCCACCA
rnacentral:tmRNA from 1 species